CAUUUGUCCCUUCUUAUCUCUUGACCUGUCCUCCUUGAUUUACUUUUCCCAUCAGCCCCUGCAUCCUGCCCCCUCCCCCCUUGGAGUAGGAUCACUUUAAUUCUGGCAGUGUGCUGAGUUUUAUGCUGGAUUUUUAUCCCAGGAGAGGCCAGAGACAUCAGAGCAGUGAUCUCUGAGAACAGUAGGCUAAGCCUGCUUCCUAACUUCAGACUUUAUAUUAUGACUGGGCUUUCUGCACUUCUGAAGAGAAGAUCUAGACCGUUCCUGCUCAUGCUUUCUUAGGGUAUUGUGUGUAGUUCCAGGAUCUCAAGGACAGCAUAAGCUGGGGACCUGCAAGAUGACACCUCUUUCUGCUCCAGUGCCCUGGUAAUGGUCUGGGACCUCCUGUUGAUCUGGUGCACAGCCUCUCCCUUGUGCUACAAUUUUCCACAAAGCACCCCAUGGCAGGGAGGGGCAAUAAUGAUCUUGACUAGUGGAGGAAAUAUCUAUAGGAAUGAAAUGACAAAACCUUCAAGUAUUGAAGCUAAAGUUAAAAUAGGAAUAAUUAAGCAACUUAUAUGAUGAGACUAUGGUGAGGAAAAUACUCUGUAAACUUUAAAGCACUAUCUAAAUGUGAAUCAUUAUUAUGGAUAUGUUAAAGUUUCUUUUCUGUG